rnacentral:rRNA from 1 species
GAUGAACGCUGGCGGCGUGCCUAAUACAUGCAAGUCGAGCGAACAGAUGAGGAGCUUGCUCCUCUGACGUUAGCGGCGGACGGGUGAGUAACACGUGGAUAACCUACCUAUAAGACUGGGAUAACUUCGGGAAACCGGAGCUAAUACCGGAUAAUAUAUUGAACCGCAUGGUUCAAUAGUGAAAGACGGUUUUGCUGUCACUUAUAGAUGGAUCCGCGCCGCAUUAGCUAGUUGGUAAGGUAACGGCUUACCAAGGCAACGAUGCGUAGCCGACCUGAGAGGGUGAUCGGCCACACUGGAACUGAGACACGUUCCAGACUCCUACGGGAGGCAGCAGUAGGGAAUCUUCCGCAAUGGGCGAAAGCCUGACGGAGCAACGCCGCGUGAGUGAUGAAGGUCUUCGGAUCGUAAAACCCUGUUAUUAGGGAAGAACAAAUGUGUAAGUAACUAUGCACGUCUUGACGGUACCUAAUCAGAAAGCCACGGCUAACUACGUG